rnacentral:rRNA from 1 species
GUGCCAGCAGCCGCGGUAAUACGUAGGGUGCAAGCGUUAAUCGGAAUUACUGGGCGUAAAGCGUGCGCAGGCGGUUCGGAAAGAAGGAUGUGAAAUCCCAGGGCUCAACCUUGGAACUGCAUUCUUAACUACCGAACUAGAGUAUGUCAGAGGGGGUCUAUUUCCGCGUGUAGCAGUGAAAUGCGUAGAUAUGCGGAGGAAUACCGAUGGCGAAGGCAGCCCCCUGGGAUAAUACUGACGCUCAUGCACGAAAGCGUGGGUAGCAAACAGGAUUAGAUACCCUGGUAGUCCACGCCCUAAACGAUGUCAACUAGCUGUUGGGCCCUUCGGGGCUUAGUAGCGUAGCUAACGCGUGAAGUUGACCGCCUGGGGAGUACGGUCGCAAGAUUAAAACUCAAAGGAAUUGACGGGGACCCGCACAAGCGGUGGAUGAUGUGGAUUAAUUCGAUGCAACGCGAAAAACCUUACCUACCCUUGACAUGUCUGGAAUCCUUUAGAGAUAGAGGAGUGCUCGCAAGAGAACCGGAACACAGGUGCUGCAUGGCUGUCGUCAGCUCGUGUCGUGAGAUGUUGGGUUAAGUCCCGCAACGAGCGCAACCCUUGUCAUUAGUUGCCAGCAUUCAGUUGGGCACUCUAAUGAGACUGCCGGUGACAAACCGGAGGAAGGUGGGGAUGACGUCAAGUCAUCAUGCCCUUUAUGACCUGGGCUACACACGUGCUACAAUGGAUGGUACAACGAGCAGCAAGACCGCGAGGUCAAGCGAAUCUCUUAAAGCCAUUCUCAGUUCGGAUUGCAGGCUGCAACUCGCCUGCAUGAAGCCGGAAUCGCUAGUAAUCGCGGAUCAGCACGCCGCGGUGAAUACGUUCCCGGGUCUUGUACACACCGCCCGUCACACCACGAGAGUUUGUAACACCCGAAGUCGGUGAGGUAACCUUUAUGGAGCCAGCCGCCUAAGGUGGGACAGAUGAUUGGGGUGAAGUCGUAACAAGGUAACC